CCCAUCUGUGCUACUAUAACCACAUGGUCCAUCCCUUGCUUCAAUCAUAGAAUUCUUUCUUCAGAUCAAAGUAUAUUCAGACACCCGAUACAGUAACAAAAGCAAGCUAUCCUGGAAGGAAGAAGGAAUCAGGAGGCAGAGCACAUGGUUAAAGCAUGAGAUGUGAAACCAGGAAGAACCAGGUCUGAAUCUUAGCUCCACCAGUGGUAGCUCCAAACCUUAGUCCUUUCUGAGCCUGCUUCUUCAACCCUAAGAUAAGCGACCAGAAAACAGUCCUCUCUGAAUCAGACAAACCUCAAGAGCUGCAAGGGUUAUUAACACAUAAAGUAAAGAGUCAAAUAGUAAUCUGCAGCUCAUCCCCUAUUCUCCUCUUGCAAUCCGGAUGCUGCCUGACUACCAACACACCUGCACAAAGCCCUCUGCAGCACCUGCCACUGGCCCAUGCUUUUGUCACUGCCACCUCCAGCUCAGCCUCAUUCCCCUCCAGGCUCUGCUCCAACACAUAGGACCACAGGAAUUCGGAAACGGGACCCAGAAAGUUGUUUCCUGCAAGUGGCUGGAACAACACAAGCAAUAAGUAUCCUGAAACAGGCCCUGUUCCAACAAACUGACCCAGAAAGGUCUGGUUAGGACAGGACCCUCACUAUACACUAAUACAUUUAAACUAAAAGGAUAUUAUGAAUUAUGUAGACAUAUCAAGCUGAGAGGAAAGGAAAUCCUAUCAUCUUGCAGGCUUCCUAAUGAUCUUACUUAAAACUGAGUUACU
rnacentral:antisense_RNA from 1 species